GAGGAUUUCAAAAGUUUUGUAUGUUGGGCGCAGGGUAAUUGUGUCCUCGGAGUUAGCAAAUAUUGACCAGGGUUCCACACCUCAUCCAGUAGGUAGGAAACCCAGCCAUGUUGUACCACCCUGCCUCUGAUAAAUAUGUGAUACCCAGUCAUUUCACAGUGUGGCUGGCUAGGUCUGCUUCUUCUUACUUCAGGCAUGUGUUUACGCUUCUAUUUUGAUAUCCUCAGCUUGUGGUCAGUACUUCAUCAAGGAGUAAUCUGUGUCUUGCUAUGCUUUGUGAAAGACGUGGUGAGUGGGUUCUUGUUAGUAAUCGGGGAUCCUGUGUUUCGUUUUGCAGCAGUCAUCAGCUGUGACUUCCACCCAGGUGAGAUGCUGAUUUCCAUGUGGUACAGUGCUGCUGUGAUUUAUUAGCUUUCACCUACUCUUGCCUUAGUAAUGGGAAAAUUAAGCCCUUAUGUGUUCUCACAUGAUAUUUUCUUCUGUUCACAUUAUGCCUUUUCCACUAUCUCAAUUUAAUUUGCCUUGACUUAUAUUAAGGUUUUCUUCCAAAAGCCCUUUCCUAUAGACCACAGCAAUGAAUUCAGCGUGAGGAAGGCUAGACAUCAUCUUUUCACUCAGAGAAAUAGAUCACAGAAAAGGAAGCCUUUAAAAUGCUACUAUCCAUCUCUUCACCUGAUUAGUAUAUAAAGAACAUAGUACAAGAGUAAGGGCUGAAGAGUUAAUCUCUUACAUUAAUCUCCCCCAUUACAUUAUAUUAAAUAAUCUCUUCCUCAAAUGACUAUACAAUGCAGCACUACUAGUAAAAUUAAAUUUCACAUUGGGAUUUUUUAAGUAUUGUAACCCUUAAAUAAUUUUCUUCAUUUAACUCCAUCACAAAAUUGCAUCCCAAACACUAUAAAGACAUCUGCUCUGAAACUUCCUCAAACUGGUGGGGUUGGCGGCUCUCGUUACAGCCAAAACAUUCAACAAAAAGAUUCCUCAGUUUUCUCUCAUCACACACAAUUAUGAGUUUUGACUUCAAAUACUUAUACUCACAUAAUUACAGUAUUCUGAAAAGAUGUCCUAAAUAUAUAUGAUUCCCAGCUUGACUGAGACUUCAAGCAAAUUCUCUUGUCUGGGUGCUUGGUAAAGGAAAACUAAAUUAGUGAGAGUACAAUACAGCAAGUUACAGUGUUUAGAUACAAUAACCAAAAAUAAAGUCAAUUUAAUCUUCCA
rnacentral:lncRNA from 1 species